rnacentral:misc_RNA from 1 species
GAUGAAAUGUUCGCUGCUGUAUGCAACAGUUUUGAUCUGCUCUGCUUUGCUAUUUUAUUGCGUGAUCAACAAAUCAGAAAGUGGAGCUUACAGUGUCUUCCUGCAGAUGUGCUCGCCAACGGAGGAGAAUACCUUUCUUGAGAACAAAGAGUCUAUUUCGAAAGCAGAGGUGCCUAGCACGCUCAGUUCUUCUGCAGAGGGUCUUUUCAAACUGUACGACGGAGUGGAGACGUUUGUGAUGUUUAUCGGAUAUCCUCGCAGCAGUCACAGCCUUGUAGCGGCCAUCUUAGACGCGCAUCCAGAAAUCAUCAUCGCUAAUGAAUACCACGUGCUUCGAACUUGGCAAGAAAAAUUCCACUCGUCAACAGAGGUUGAGAAAAACUUUAAGAAGUAUCAACUCUUUUAUGAGCUUCAUGAGUUUUCAGUAAAGGACGCUACAUUUGGACGCCGUGCUAAUAGCUCCCUUUUGAAUGUCAGAUACAGCUACCAAGUGCCCGGCCUAUGGCAAGGAAGAUAUUUUAAAAGAAUCAAGGUAAUUGGCGACAAGAAGGGCGGUGGCACUGCAAAUGCAUUGAAGACUAAAAAUCAUUGGAGCAUCCUUUAUGAAAUUCACGAAGCUCUUCAAAUACCGAUAAAAUUCAUCCACGUCAUCAGAAACCCCUUUGACAACAUAGCAACCAUCAUGCUCCGCGCUACAGAGUCGCGUGACGUUGUAAAAGAAGAUGGAGUAACAGUAAAUAUGACGAGCGAACUCGACUUAGCUAUUAGGCAGUAUUUCAGCUUGGUGGCCGCUAACCAACACAUUAGGGAACGUUACGGGAAUGCUGUCAUUGACAUUCAAGGACACAAUACAGUGUUGAAGCCCAGAGAAACGUUGCAGAGAUUGUGCGACCAUUUAGGAGUCACUUGUUCUGAAGAUUACUUUGAAAAAUGUAGCAGUAUCCUGUAUGGAGUUCCCUCGGUGACAAGAGACAAAGUAAUAUGGACCGAGGAGCAAAAGGAGCGUGUCACCAAACAAAUGAAGAAGUUCGCUUUUUUGAAGGAAUAUUCAUUUGAUGAAUAUCCCAACUAACGUUUGCCACUGUCCAUGAAAGGACGAUGAUCGUAAAAGACAAAGAUAAUGAUAAUCAAAAAUAGACCGUUGCAAGACGAGGAUAAUUAAGUUCAGAAAUGAAGUAAGCUGACUCAGAAGAGUUUGAGGGAGUGGAAAAACAGCGUGCCUGUGAUAGGUUUACUUUAACUUAUACGAAGCACAGAGAAAAAAAAUGAUAAAUAAAAACGAAAAUUAGAGAAGCAUGUUUACCUUUCUGGUAGCAAAACUGUUCAUAACCACGGCAAAUGAAAUGACAAUAAGUUAUUGAUGGCGACAUCCGGCGAAAGAGUUGAAAUUGGUAGCUUGACAAUAAUAAGAAAUAAAUUCAUAGCAAUCUGAAUAUGAACAUUUUUAUUUUACAUAUGAUGCUGCAAUUUUAACAAACUUAUUGAAAUGCUUGUCAUGCAUAUCGUUUCUAUACCUUCCAUAUUUAUCUCGGAUCCAAAGCUAGAUAGAAAGACUUCAAAGGUUCAAAUCAUUAAUCAUUUAUGCGAACUAGCUUUCUUUUAAUGAAGAGGUGUUAAAACUGAAGGAACGAGUUGAUAUCUUUACUAACUUGCCAUGGGGCAAACGAAAUAACAAAGUAUAAAAAGAAAGGAAUGUUAUAGACACAGAGAUUUAAAAGUGAGGCAAUGGCGACCCAGGCUAAGGUCAGUGACAUCUCUGUUUCGCAGGAGGACGAUAAUUGAAUUUAUCAUUAUGUACAAACCUUCUUUGUUGAGAAAAGGUAUAUGAUAAUGACAUAUUGUAUGCCAACAAAAAGCUUGGGAAAAGAAUAGAUUAAAAAACAAAACAUGAUUCUGAAAAUUCUCCUUCCAAUUCUGAAAACAAUGAAAUUCAUCUCUAACUACAGAUGAAAGAAAAGUACGGUCACUCAAUACUAUGGUGACAAUAUUAUAACCGACCUACUAAUGACUCCUUUAGAGCCUCUCUCUAAGUCAUCCUUGUUAAUGCGAGGUGAACAUCACAAAUUCAAAGAAAGGAGCUAUGUAGUAGCAAUGUGGUUAUCAGAUAUAUAACGACACUUGUAAAGCCUGCCUUAACGUCUUCCGGUCCUAGAUAAUGGUUGGAAGAGCCUCAUCUGUGAACCAAUCGAUGGCAAAGAUGUUAGCCUACAAGCGAGGAUCGAUAUGUUUUGUUCUCCUGCAGCUGCCAGCAUGUAUAUAUCUGUAUGAAUAGUCUGUAAUUAACACUUUAAACCCACGCUUAAUUCUCAACCGGCAGCACUGUUUACUGCCAGUUGAACGUAAAUCACCUUGGACUGCACGUCAGGAAGUGACAAUUAAGACAGAAGACAAUUCCCAUUUCUACGUUUGUGGAUACUACGAAUAUUAGUAGUUCUUGGUCUCAUCAGUGCGGGUUAAUUCAGGUAUAUCUUUGAAUUCUGGACCUGAAGCAAAGCCAGACUCGUCAGAGAAAACUGAGGUACAAGACUCUGGAGGUAUUAGGCCGUCUGAAGCACUAAGAAAUCUUUUCCGAUAAGGACAUCUUUCCUUAAGCGAACAGAUACUCAAACGGGUUUUCGUCAUGGCCGUGCGAUUUCUGCCGUUUGCUCUUUUGGUAGCGCUAUUUCCUACACGUUUAGAAAGCACUGACGACGAUACCUUUUACACCUACUUGUCAUGCGCAAAUGAUUGCCACUGUUCACGAGACAGAGUGUCCGGAAAGGUUUUGGCCGAAUGCAACUUCGCCGGGAAAAAUCUGAGUGAGAGUAAUCUUGUUCUACCACCAGAUGUGAAUACUUUAGACCUGUCUGACAACGAUUUGUCUCAAGUGCCAGUUUUUGUCAUCCAUAAAUAUCUAAAUAUCACAAACUUG